rnacentral:rRNA from 1 species
ACGUUAGCGGCGGACGGGUGAGUAACACGUGGGUAACCUACCUAUAAGACUGGGAUAACUUCGGGAAACCGGAGCUAAUACAGGAUAAUAUUUCGAACCGCAUGGUUCGAUAGUGAAAGGUGGUUUUGCUAUCACUUAUAGAUGGACCCGCGCCGUAUUAGCUAGUUGGUAAGGUAACGGCUUACCAAGGCGACGAUACGUAGCCGACCUGAGAGGGUGAUCGGCCACACUGGAACUGAGACACGGUCCAGACUCCUACGGGAGGCAGCAGAC